rnacentral:rRNA from 1 species
AACGAACGCUGGCGGCAUGCCUAACACAUGCAAGUCGAACGAGACCUUCGGGUCUAGUGGCGCACGGGUGCGUAACGCGUGGGAACCUGCCCUUAGGUUCGGAAUAACUCCCCGACAGGGGUGCUAAUACCGGAUAAUGUCUUCGGACCAAAGAUUUAUCGCCUUUGGAUGGGCCCGCGUUGGAUUAGCUAGUUGGUAGGGUAAAAGCCCACCACGGCGACGAUCCAUAGCUGGUCUGAGAGGAUGAUCAGCCACACUGGGACUGAGACACGGCCCAGACUCCUACGGGAGGCAGCAGUGGGGAAUAUUGGACAAUGGGCGAAAGCCUGAUCCAGCAAUGCCGCGUGAGUGAUGAAGGCCGUAGGGUUGUAAAGCUCUUUUACCCGGGAUGAUAAUGACAGUACCGGGAGAAUAAGCGCCGGCUAACUCCGUG